rnacentral:rRNA from 1 species
UACGUAGGUGGCAAGCGUUGUCCGGAUUUACCGGGCGUAAAGAGCGCGCAGGCGGUCGUUCAAGUCGCGUGUGAAAGCCCCCGGCUCAACUGGGGAGGGUCACGCGAUACUGAUCGACUCGAAGGCAGGAGAGGGUAGUGGAAUUCCCGGUGUAGUGGUGAAAUGCGUAGAUAUCGGGAGGAACACCAGUGGCGAAGGCGACUACCUGGCCUGUUUCUUGACGCUGAGGCGCGAAAGCUAGGGGAGCAAACGGG